rnacentral:rRNA from 1 species
AUUGAACGCUGGCGGCAGGCUUAACACAUGCAAGUCGAGCGAGCGGCGGACGGGUGAGUAAUGUCUGGGAAACUGCCUGAUGGAGGGGGAUAACUACUGGAAAAGGUAGCUAAUACCGCAUACCAUCAGAUGUGCCCAGAUGGGAUUAGCUAGUGGGUGGGGUAAUGGCUCACCUAGGCGACGAUCCCUAGCUGGUCUGAGAGGAUGACAGCCAACAUUGGAACUGAGACACGGUCCAGACGCCUACGGGAGGCAGCAGUGGGGAAGAUUGCACAAUGGGCGCAAGCCUUAUGCAGCCAUGCCGCGUGUGUGAAGAAGGCCUUCGGUUUGUAAAGCACUUUCAUCGAGUAGGCGUUACUCGCAGAAGAAGCACCGGCUAACUACGUGCCAGCAGCCGCGGUAAUUC